AGACUCCUACGGGAGGCAGCAGUGGGGAAUAUGCGCAAUGGGGGAAACCCUGACGCAGCGACGCCGCGUGGAGGAAGAAGGCCUUUGGGUUGUAAACUCCUUUGAUCGGGGACGAAGAUGACGGUACCCGAAGAACAAGCCACGGCUAAGUACGUGCCAGCAGCCGCGGUAAUACGUA
rnacentral:rRNA from 1 species